rnacentral:sRNA from 1 species
CUGUCCACUGAACAGAGACAGCACAGGCAGCAGCAGUGCAGGCUCCCCCAGCACUCCAGUGUGCCCCCGCACUGUUCCAGGCACAUCUUGACCUCACCGCUGAGACAG